rnacentral:rRNA from 1 species
AACUUUCAACAACGGAUCUCUUGGCUCUGGCAUCGAUGAAGAACGCAGCGAAAUGCGAUAAGUAAUGUGAAUUGCAGAAUUCAGUGAAUCAUCGAAUCUUUGAACGCACAUUGCGCCCUCUGGUAUUCCGGAGGGCAUGCCUGUUCGAGCGUCA